rnacentral:rRNA from 1 species
UCGAGAAUCAUUCGCAAUGGGCGCAAGCCUGACGGUGCGACGUCGCGUGGAGGAUGAAGGUCUUCGGAUUGUAAACUCCUGUCAUGUGGGAUAAAUGGCCAGGGCAUGAAUAGUGCCUUGGAAUGAUAGUACCACAGGAGGAAGGGACGGCUAACUCUGUGCCAGCAGCCGCGGUAAUUCAGAGGUCCCGAGCGUUGUUCGGAUUUACUGGGCGUAAAGGGAGCGUAGGCGGUUUGGUGUGUCGAAUGUGAAAGCCCACAACUCAACGGUGGAAUGGCAUUCGAAACGAGUGAGCUAGAGUACUGGAGAGGAGAGCGGAAUUCUUGGUGGAGCGGUGAAAUGCGUAGAUAUCAAGAGGAACACCGGUGGCGAAGGCGGCUCUCUGGACAGAUACUGACGCUGAGGCUCUAAAGUUAGGGGAGCAAA